CGUGUAGGCGGUUGGGUAAGUCAGAUGUGAAAGCCUUCUGCUUAACAGAAGAAGUGCAUUUGAAACUGCUCGGCUAGAGUACGGGAGAGGAGAGUGGAAUUCCCGGUGUAGAGGUGAAAUUCGUAGAUGUCGGGAGGAACACCAGUGGCGAAGGCGGCUCUCUGGUCCGAUACUGACGCUGAGACGCGAAAGCGUGGGGAGCAAACAGGAUUAGAUACCCUGGUAGUCCACGCCGUAAACGAUGGGCACUAGGUGUAGGAGGUAUUGACCCCUUCUGUGCCGAAGCUAACGCACUUAAGUGGCCCCGCCUGGGGAGUACGGCCGCAAGGCUAAA
rnacentral:rRNA from 1 species